CCUACGGGAGGCUGCAGUGAGGAAUAUUGGUCAAUGGGCGCGAGCCUGAACCAGCCAAGUCGCAUGAAGGAUGACUGCCCUACGGGUUGUAAACUCCUUUUUUAAAGGAAUAAAGUGAGGCACGUGUGCCUUUUUGUAUUUACUUUAUGAAUAAGGAUCGGCUAACUCCGUGCCAGCAGCCGCGGUAAUACGGAGGAUCCGAGCGUUACCCGGUUUUUUUGGGUUUAAAGGGGGCGUAGAUGGGUUGUUAAGUCAGGUGUGAAAGUUUGCGGCUCAACCGUAAAAUUGCAAUUGAUACUGGCAGUCUUGAGUGCAGUUGAGGUAGGCGGAAUUCGUGGUGUAGCGGUGAAAUGCUUAGAUAUCACGAAGAACUCCGAUUGCGAAGGCAGCUUACUAAUCUGCCACUGACAUUGAUGCUCGAAAGUGUGGGUAUCAAACAGGAUUAGAUACCCCAGUAGUC
rnacentral:rRNA from 1 species